CUGGGCUACGUGUCAGGCUGUGUCCAAGCAGGACAAAGUGACGCAGAUGAAGGCGAUGGCAUUUGACACCUGGGAAAAAAUGUUCCUGCUCAUCUUCCAGCUGUGAUUUGAGUGAAGAGCUUCGGUUCUGUAUUCAUUUAUGAGCAUAGAAAAUGGACACCGAACAUGCCUCCUCUAUAAUCUGAAGCGGCUGAUUUAACGUGAUUGAUCCUCAAUAUGGGAGUUGCCUUCAAAGAACACAGCAACAAUGAUGACAUCGCACUACAAGACCAGCCUUCAGUCUUUGUUGCUUCUGCCUCUCCUGAGUUUAGUAAAAGAAAGAUGUUGAUAAACUAAGGAGAGGAUGAGCAGGAUCACAAAAAGAGAGCUGGGACGUUUUGAUCAUUUUUAUGUCAGCAUGCUUGUGGAUAAAGACACGUCUGCGCUGCCAAGUGUCCCAGGCAAUCCCGGCUUCAUUGAGUCCUGCACUGCGAUGUUUUAAAUCACUACUCUUUUAUUCUCUUCUACCAUAAUAGCUACACUAUAAAGAGCAGCAGAGGAGAAGGAAUCAAUAAAAUCAUGCAUCUAAUAAGGGGGGCAGGAUUAAAAAUGGUUCCUCCAAAGCCUUCAGGGGAAAAUCGAGGUGAGAUUUAAGUCUUUUGACAGGUACAUCGGGGACUUUCUCUCCCAUCCCUGCCAGAGUGGACCGGGCGGUGGGCUCGGGACUUGUUUAUGGCAGGUUGGGAUUAAGAAGGUCGGAUCUACACCGCCAUUUCUCAAGGCCUCAAAAGCCCAGUAGGCUAAUUAAACAGUAACAGGCGAGACAUGGGUCUCUCUUGCGCUCACCUCCUGGCUUUGCUCUCUUCAAUUCCAGCAGUUUAAUUUUUCUAGAAAGGGGGCAACCAUGUCGGAGCACUCGGCAGGCUUCCAGCUCUGCGGUGGGAUGUUGGAGGGGUAGCGACGCAAUGGAGGAGGACCGAGCAUUGGAAUGAGGAGAAGGUUGGUCACAGGAAAGGCCAGGUCAAACCCUCUACACCCCAGCUGACAGCUAGAGUCAGACCUUCCUGCUCCAUGAGGCUGAAGGACAGAAAAGGAGGGGAAGGCGGUAAUAUCGACAAGGUGGAAGCAUUGUGACUCAUAUUGUGAUUCCUGUGCCAGUGUUGCAGUCCACCGUCACGCCGCUGGAAGGGCAGGCGGCUCGCGUCCAAGGCCCCCCGUGCAACCUGUGUAAGAACGGCGAGGCCUGAUGUUGUUGACCUAGCCCCAAGGUGCAUGUGUCACAGCCAAGGCCAUCAAGGCAGUUCCCGUCAUCGCAUUUGCACUUCAAAAAACAUUUGGCUUGCACAGCCUUGGAGCAAGGGAGUCUCAGAGGUGCUUGUGAUAGUGGAUUCACCAGCUUACAGGAAACCUCCUGAAUUAAACAGAACGAAUGGCAGCUGUUGGAUCCGUCCAACCUGCACUGCUAAUCUUCUUCAUAAUACCCAUGCCUCUCGCUCGGUUAUUGUCUCACGAAUUAAAGGGAAUCUCAUUGCUGAACAGUUUUAGUUAAAUAAGAUUCACAUGGUAUUGGUGGGAAGUAGGAUUUUGGUCCCAAAUUAAAGAUGUAACAAGCCCUAGCAGUGUUGCAAACACAUUCCUGUAGUCACCACACAGGCACACUAGUGCUACAUGAAUACAGGUCACAGUUUUAAUAAUUAUUUAAACAAUAUAUUCAACUUAAAUACAUACACUCACUUCAUAUCAAUUCUUAUAUUCAUAUUUAAUAUAUGUAA